GCAGCUCCACUCACAAUCGGAGGAACUGCUCUACGACCACCUUCCCGCGGGUCAGUGGACUCCCCCACUACCACAUCACGCACUCCAUGAAGAUAAGUAGUGAGCAUGCGCGAGGCCUCACGUAUUCUCCUUUGUGUUCGAGCUCGAGCACGCGUGUACGCCAGAGUUGGAGUAAUUCCCCGGAGAGCGUGGACGACCGUGAGGUCUCACGACACGUCGCCAGAUCCGGAGAUCCCUGCUACGACUCGAAGGGAGACGAGGACUACGCGCGUGCCGGAGAGCAAGGACGAUUGCAAAGCCUCUGGACGUGCUGUCAGGUCCGGUAAUUCCUCUAAUGUCCUCCCAUAGCACCUGGGUUCAUGUAUCAUCUAAUUAGACCCAUGCCUAUCGUCGUGUGUCUGUAAAGUUCUUCCAUACUUGGCUUUGAACCAUGAUUGUUCACUGUUUCCGAAUAACCUGUUGUUCCAUGAUAUAAUGAUUGUUCACUGUUUCUUUGAGGCAUAGCUGAGUUUGCUUAGAAAUUGCAAUUAGUAGGUUUCCGAAUAACCGUGAGAUAAUCUUACUGUCAUUCUAUCAUGUAAUGUACAAGGACAUAGCCACAGAUGUAAUCCUUACAUCUCCUGAAUGAAUUAUUCUUUCACAUUUUAGCUGUGCAGCCCACUUCCUGUUUCAUUACUUCAGUGUAGUGUUUAUCACUCCAUCUCCAUUGUUCUGCAAGGAAGCAUUCGAGCUGCUCAAAUCUCAUAAGGUAGAACCUUGAGUGGAGUUCUGAACAAGUGCAUCCAAGUGUGAAUUUUCAUGUGAAUUAACUACACCAGUAACCAAUUCUUAUUGCAAAGGUGUUGCGUGCCGGUCUCAUUUUAGUGAAUAACAGAUUACUCUGCUUUGAGUGUGCCUGUGUCAUGUAUCUCAUUCUUUAUCAGUUAGUUAUAUCAUUGUUCAACAACAUUUCUGCGAGCAGAAGCUGGUUCUCUGUGAAGGAAUCACAUGAAACAACAUUCAAAUUGCAGAGACCACCAUGGCGGUAAAUCAUGUCUGCUACAUCAUUUUUGAAUAAACCCUAUGAUUCACUACCUGCUUGUCGUCAUCUUUAAAGAUUGUCCGAACCCCGUAUAAACAUCUGUUGUACCAGCUGCAGCGAGCAAGCCAUAUUUCUGCUUUUAUCAAGUCUUUUAUUUCUGCAAAAUAUUUCAUGCGACCAUUCUUGCAAUGGUUUAUGUUUAGUAUUUUGUUGCCUUAAUCUUGGAUCUCCUGUGAACUUGCAAUGGUGGUUCUUUUGUACGUGUUGAACAAGUAUUCCUAAACUUCUUUUCUUUCUGCGAAAUAUUUCAUGUGAUCGUUCUUGCAAUGUACUCUCCGUCCCUAUAGGUCUUUGGCAUUUGGUCGAGGCGAGGCUGGCUGCCUGCCACAGGUCACCUCAACCUUGUCUACUGGUGCAGGCUGUAGCGUGUAUGACAGGCUAGCAGCUAAUUAGCAAGUCAUAGUCACUUGUUUUUUUCAUUCAUUGUUUGAAGUAUACAGCACAACCUACGUGAUUGAGGAAGUGAGGAUUUAUGCUUCAUUUUUCACAACUUAUAUUUAGUUAAAUUGUUGAUUUAGUGCAUAAUCUGUAAGGAUUUCUUUAUGGAGGAAACAAAAACCGACAUGGUAGUAGUGGUGGUUCUGAUGGCCCAGAGGACGAGUCUUUUAAGCAAUCGUUAUAUGAGUUUUGGUACUGUUGCUUGGGUAGAUGUGAACGAAUAUGAGACUCUGCAACCUGACAAGAUUGCUAUGGAUGGAGGGGAACAAAAUCUGAAGGUAAGCUAAUAAGUAUUUGCUCAGAGAACAGCCUGAAGAAGUGAAGAUCUCAAUGCAUUCCAUGAACUCUUAUAGCUCAUUUGAUCUUAGGCACUAUACUUGCAAGUGAUUCCUCUGCUCCGUCUGUUGCCCUUUGAAUAGGAACUCAACUCAAUGUUCUCAAAGCCUGUGAAAGAGCAUUUGUCAACUGAUGAAGGAGAGGUAGACGACCUAGCUGUUAUUUCGAUGGAUAGCAAAGGCAUCGAUAUCCGUGUCCAACAAGGUGCACAGGUGCAACUUUCUGAAAAGGGUGCCGGGGCUUUAACGACUCUUGCUAAGAUAUUUCUGGUUGUUGGUCUAGGAAUGCUUCCUAUUUUGCCAAAACACCUUGUCGAUAGAGCUUGCAAACUUUUACUAUCUGAAGAAUGAAGAUUUGAUAUGUAGUUCACUGGAAUCUUCUUGCAUGAUGGGAUUUGAUUGAAUUUCCUUCUAUGUGCACAAAAACCAAGAGCAUCUAACAUGCCAACAAUUCAAGCUGGCAGCAGUCUACACUUGGAAUAAAGGAUGUGUUAAUUGCAACCGUCGUUGAUGUCGCGCCUUGUGCUCCGCCUAUGAGAUGAAAUGCUAGCUCAUUGGAUGACAUGCGCAACCCAAAUUCGAUUUGGCCAGGUUGUUGUUUAUUGUGUGGUUUACUCUCCCUGUGAAUUGGUUGAUGUAGUGCGUACAUGUGUGUGAAUAUGUUUGUGUUUGGAUUUCAGUUCGUAGAGAAGAAGGCGACAUGUAUGUGUUCGCGAUUUGGGAAGUAGGUGCAUGGUAUUUGUGAGUUGAUGAUUUGUUUUGAAGUGAGUUAUGCAAAGAGCGUAUUGGUUCUAUGCAUGCGAUGUGUGAUUAUGUUGAUGAAUGUGAUAUAAGUUUAGUGUUUCAAACGGUUAGUUGAUAUGUUGUAUCAGUGUUGUUGGUGUUGCUUUCGCUUGUAUGGCGAAUUGAUGCUUCGCUUUAACAGUCCUGGCAUUCUAUACUUAGUGGGUGUGUAAAUAUUAUGUUGAUCGGUUAUAGGUCCUGUAUGAGUGAUAUUGCUGCCCAAAAUUGUUUGGAAGCGAGUAGCGUCAAUAAGUUGAUUUCCGUGGAAAUCGGAGAAACGACCCGACAAAAUAUACAUGUAAGAGUUUUUGGUCUUAGGUAAUAAAGUGUGGUUUCGUUGACGUCUAUUCUUCAUGAUAAUGCUCCAUGUUUUAAAUCAAAUAAAGAUGUGAUGUUUAUUUGGUUGAUGCGCUACAUGAGUUGGUCGGUAAAAGUAGUUAGAGAGCUAGUCAAACUGCAUGUACCCAUGUUCUGAGUUCUAGGUGUCCCAUGAAUGUUGAGACUAGUUUUGUUAGUCUUAUGCUUAGCUAAGAAACAUGUAAGACAUAUAUAUGGUUUAGUGUUUUCUUAAUUCAUGAGCUAUGUCGGGUUAAAUAGGAAAGAGUGGUGAAUGUGCUUGUUAAUUGUAUGUUUGUAGCUCUAGUGAUCCAAAUGAAUUGAAGGUAAUUAGUGAGUUGACUUUGGUGCUUAUUGUGUGGUUUUAUCUCUCAAGAACGGUAAGGAUAUUAUAAUAUUCUAAGUGUCAAGAACAUGAUAACUGUAGAAACUAAAUAGGAGUGAAGUUAGAAUACUUUUCGUUUGGACUGCAGGUACAGUUUUUUCCGUGCCAUUAGUUUGGUGAACUAAACUAUAUUUUAUGUAGAAAUGUUCUAUACAAAAGUUGUAGAUAACGUCUUUAUCUUUCUUGUGUUAAAAUUUCAUGGCCAUAGGUCUAAUAGUUUGGAAGAUAUGCUUCUCACAAGUCUAAUAUUAGAAUCUAUCCAUGUUUUGACUAGAUUUAAAAAAUGACAUUGUUUGUCCAAGUUAAACUAAGAUUAAGCUCUUAGUAAUUAUAAGUAAGUUGUAGUACUUUUAUUAAUCUUUCUAUAAAGUUAUGGAUCACGCUUUUUGGUGGUCUACAUCUUCAUUUAUAGAUGUUUGAAGUAUGAGGUCUGAAUCUGUCCAAAUCUGGACAGAGGCAACUUCUUUGUGUUGAAUGACCUUGAUAGAGAUUGAACCACCUUGAGGUGAUUAUAAUUUUUUUGUAGACAAUUUUAUUAGAUUUCCAUAAAGUUUUAGAUCACAUGUUUUUCAUGCCUGAAUCUCUGGUUAUGGCUAAAAUUAAGUACUGACUGUGUUGCUAUCCAGAAUCUGCAAGUGUUUAGUGUUGAGGAACUAUUAUUUAGAUGUGGCCUUAGCCUCGGUGAACUGGCAGUCUUCAUUAGUGUGGUGUUGAUCCUCCAAGAUGCAUGCCACAAUAGAGGCAUGUAGCUUCAUAACUUUCUUUCAUAGCACCUCUAGUUCUUCAUUGUCACCAGCCAUGGAGAGAUUAGUAGAUCGAAAUCAUAGUGGCCGAGUGACAGAAAUAGACAUGGGCUAGAAUGACACACAUUAUGUCAUGUCGAGGUGGUGGACGUGCAACAUGGAGCAUGACUGCAUGGAAGCCAAAGACGAUCGAUGAGAUCGGCGCAACAAGAUGGGCAUCGAAAGAUGCACAACAUGGUUACGAUCUUGAUACCAUGAGAGUGGAUACUAACUCACACAAUGAGUUAUUGUAUUGGUCCAACCAUAUGUAUAUGUUGGAUCUGUGGUGGAGAUGGCGAUUUUGACGCCUAGGGCCACUAUCUAAGUGCCAGGGUCGUGCGAGAGGGGGUGCUAGCUGUUCAGUGGAACAGGGCUCCUAAAUCCUGAGGGCCCCAAAAAUUUCAAAGCUACAAUCUGUUGCUCACGUAAUUUUGUCAGUCCAUGUCGUCUAUGGCCGGUACUGGCGUGUGCCAGAGUCUCAACGUGUGCUAGCCUAGUAGGCUAGUAGCAUGCUAGGAGAGUAUGAGUGCAUGUUUGCACUCUGCAGUCUGCCACAAGCUGCUAGUGAGUGGUGGCCAGACAAGCUUGCUGCGUCACUGCGUCUGUGAACAUUAGGCCACUAAGAAAACAAGGUAAAAUUUUAAAUAUUUUUUCUUUAACUAGGUUUGUUACUUUGUUUGAUUAUAUAUUGAAAUAUAAAUUGAUUAGACCUUUUCAAUUAUUAUUGGACAUCCUUAUAAACUAAAUAAUUUUAUUGCAUUUAUCUUUUUUAUGUAUGUGCACCAUUUGGUUUAGUAUUCCGAGAUCCAACUACCGAUCAUGCCUAAUUCUCGUUCCAAAAGGCGUAAGAAGAGACAAAGAAUAGAAGAUUUAAUUCAGUCUCAAAAGGAAGCUAUAAAUAUAUUUACUAUUGAAAAUUACAAGUGCCCUCAGUCAUUUAAUCAAGGCCCAACUUUGAUAAUAAUGCUGACAAUGGUCCUUGAUAUGGCCAAAUGGAUACGAAUAAUAUGAGCAUAUAAUUGAAGAAUUUAAUUCAAGAAACACUAAAAAAAUUAUUUAAGUGAAAAUUAUGCAACCAAAAAUUGAAUAUAUAUAUAUAUAUAUUUAUAUAUCUUAAUGUUAUCUAAUAUAUUCUAAAUUUUAUAGUAUUGUAAUGGUGAGCCUUUAUUCUAGAGUUUGCACAGGGCCCUUAAUUUUGCCAGCACGGCCCUGCUAAGUGCCUAUGUCACCCAUAUAUAGUUAUAUGUGUCAAUAUUUUUUAGAACCAAACAAUAAUAGUACAUCUUAUUGAAAUAACAUUCUUAAUAGUCAAAAAAAUUGUUCUUCUCAAUUUGAAACAUCUUGAUAGCAAGGUCAUCAAAAUCAUGACAAUUAGCAAAUUUAGGGUCAAAUCUCACAUCAGUAAUGAAUAGAUCAAGUUGUUCUCAAAGCCACAUAAGUUCAUAGUGACCAAAACCAAUAACAUACAUCUUUGAUUAUUUUAUUAGUUGAUCUCCAUUAGAGCUAGCGAAAGAAUUCUUUGGAUCUAGACAAGCAAUGCAUAUCAAUAGUUGAGUAAACCUUUCGGUGAAGUGAUAGUUUAGUUCCAUAAUAAUUUUGUUAUUUUACCAUAUUAAAUAUCUCAUAUCCACUUCUCCUUGAGUGACACCUAAGAGUAAUGGUAUCCUCCAUGUUUGAUAUAACAAUGUUAUGUUGGUGACAAAAAAAUCUUUACCUCCUCAAAUAAUUCCCCCCAACCAUUCUCUCGUAUCUCAUUAAUUUGUUGCAAUGUAAUUCUAAUGCUUACAAAAUUAGUAUGCAUCUAUAGUCAUAUUAUAUCUUACAAUUGUGCAAUUAUAAAUCAGAGCAAGUAUGUACAUGAAGCAAAAUCAAGGAAGUAGCAAAUUUAAGAUUACCUUGUGGUGUUGAUUGCCCGUGCUAAGGGGAAAGGUGCCUAGUUAGCAACUCUUCCUCUGCAUAUGGCGUUCAUGUGUGUGCAGUGGCUGCAUAGUUGUGCUCACACGUGUGGCACAACGUUGUCUAGCUAGCCGACUGCUUUGGCGCUGUGGAGUGUCAUGCCGCACUAAAGUGCUAGAUUAGAAUCGAGUGUUGUGUCGCGCUGGAGUGUCCAACUACUGGUGCGAUGACUGUGGAGUUGCUAUGGCGUGUGGAUGCUGGCUGGAUCUCUUGAGUGCUGACUCCCGAAGUUUAGCUACCAAGGUAGUGUUUGGUUCACCAUGGUUAAUGGUAUCGCAAUGAAAGUUAAAAAGCAGUGGAUUCCAAAUCAAUGAAUACCAUCGCAUGCUUUGCUUGGUUGA